CCUGGUGGCUCAGAGGUUAAAGCAUCUGCCUGCAAUGUGGGAGACCUGGGUUCGAUCCCUGAGCCAGGA
rnacentral:tRNA from 1 species